rnacentral:rRNA from 1 species
GGCGAACCCUGCGAACUGAAACAUCUCAGUAGCAGGAGGAAAGGACAUCAACCGAGACUCCGUUAGUAGUGGCGAGCGAACGCGGACCAGGCCAGUGGUUCUUCACGGAUUAGCAAAACGGUUUGGAAAGGCCCGCCAGAGUGGGUGAUAGCCCCGUAUGGGACAUGAAGUGAGGGACCCAUGAGUAGGGCGGGACACGUGUAAUCCUGUCUGAAUUUAGGGGGACCACCCUCUAAGCCUAAGUACUCCUCAGUGACCGAUAGUGCACCAGUACCGUGAGGGAAAGGUGAAAAGCACCCCGAUAAGGGGAGUGAAACAGUACCUGAAACCGGAUGCCUACAAGCAGUCGGAGCCUCUUUAUGGGGUGACGGCGUACCUC